UGCAAGUCGAACGGUAACAGGCCUAUGUGAUCCCUUCGGGGUGAACUUGGUGCUGACGAGUGGCGGACGGGUGAGUAAUGCAUAGGAAUCUGCCCUUUAGCGGGGGAUAACUCGGGGAAACUCGGGCUAAUACCGCAUACGCCCUACGGGGGAAAGCGGGGGCCUUCGGGCCUCGCACUAUUGGAUGAGCCUAUGUCUGAUUAGUUUGUUGGUGGGGUAAUGGCCUACCAAGGCGACGAUCAGUAGCUGGUCUGAGAGGACGAUCAGCCACACUGGGAUUGAGAUACGGCCCAGACUCCUACGGGAGGCAGCAGUGGGGAAUAUUGGACAAUGGGCGAAAGCCUGAUCCAGCAAUGCCGCGUGUGUGAAGAAGGCCCGAGGGUUGUAAAGCACUUUCAACAGUAAAGAAAAGUUCGGUGCUAAUACCACCGAACCCUGACGUUAGCUGUAGAAGAAGCACUGGCUAACUCCGUGCCAGCAGCCGCGGUAAUACGGAGGGUGCGAGCGUUAAUCGGAAUUACUGGGCGUAAAGCGUGCGUAGGUGGCUUGGUAAGUCGGAUGUGAAAGCCCCGAGCUCAACUUGGGAAUUGCAUUCGAUACUGCUAGGCUAGAGUAUGGUAGAGGGAAGUGGAAUUUCCGGUGUAGCGGUGAAAUGCGUAGAGAUCGGAAGGAACACUAGUGGCGAAGGCGGCUUCCUGGACCAAUACUGACACUGAGGUACGAAAGCGUGGGGAGCAAACAGGAUUAGAUACCCUGGUAGUCCACGCCCUAAACGAUGU
rnacentral:rRNA from 1 species